rnacentral:tRNA from 1 species
AGUGAUGUAGUUAAAUAAUAACAUUAAAUUGCAAAUUUAAUAUUAUACCUUCAGUAUCUUCGCUU